rnacentral:rRNA from 1 species
CAGCAGCCACGGGAAUACGUAGGUGGCAAGCGUUGUCCGGAAUUAUUGGGCGUAAAGGGCUCGCAGGCGGUUUCUUAAGUCUGAUGUGAAAGCCCCCGGCUCAACCGGGGAGGGUCAUUGGAAACUGGGAAACUUGAGUGCAGAAGAGGAGAGUGGGAUUCCACGUGUAGCGGUGAAAUGCGUAGAGAUGUGGAGGAACACCAGUGGCGAAGGCGACUCUCUGGUCUGUAACUGACGCUGAGGAGCGAAAGCGUGGGGAGCGAACAGGAUUAGAUACCCCAGUAGUCCCUGUCUCUUAUAC